GGUCCCACCUGACCCCAUGCCGAACUCAGAAGUGAAACGCCGUAGCGCCGAUGGUAGUGUGGGGUCUCCCCAUGCGAGAGUAGGGAACUGCCAGGCAU
rnacentral:rRNA from 1 species